AAAAAAUCACCUUUGUGUUAAGCAACAAUAACCAAAAAUGUUGCUGUCUGAGCGGGCAGGUAGGUCUCAGUCAUCCCCGGCAGCAGGGGUCUGUCUGUGUGGCAUCUGUGUUCGUGGAGGAGCUGAGCACAGGGACGGGCUGUUCUGAGACGCCCACACUGCCUGGCGGUGAUGGGCACACAGAACGAGGGAUGGGUGACACAUUCAAGUAUGACUAGACGUCACACAUCAGGCGGAAUGACUGAGAACCGCAGCUGCCGUGUGUAUUCAGGCGACGCCCAACUUCCGAUGUCAGGCGACAGUUUACAUAAGAGACAAAGUUGCGGGCGGAAGUCCUUCGCUGCUGUGUGGUGGAGCAAGUGCACAUUGUAGAGACAGUGUCAUUCCUUAGGGAGCAGGAAUUGCAUUUUCAGUCCAAAUGUUAAUUGGAAGGCCAUUGAGGGGUAAACCACAGCAGGAACUCUCUGGAAGGGAGCCUUGCACUGCCAUUUUUGAUGGGGCUACGCACCCUUCCCGCCCUCGAACCCACGCCGCUGUCACGCAGAGAGGAGAGGCGGUGCGGACCACUGACAGGCACUCGGGCUUGCCUCAGCAGUGACCUUCAGCCAGUCACCUUGUCAUCCGCACUCUCAUUUAAGUAGCCAGGAGGUUGGUCUUAAAUGAUCUCCAAGGUUCCUUCUACUUCAAAAUUAUGUGAUUGCAUUUCCAGGUACCGUGUUGGUUAGCAGCCAGUCCAGCGGAUAUGAGAGUGUCAUUAGGUCAUUUGGCCACAGAGUGAUGAGGCCAUUCUUUAGGGCAGUGGCAGCCAGCAGGUGAGACUGAACAAGAGUGAGCCCCUGCUUAGCUUUGUGAUGGGCAGGCGCGUGGGGAUCCCGACAAAGGGAGAGCUGGCCACAGCUGAAUCGGCUGAGCAGCCCCCUAAAGAUAGAUUCCAUUGGCAAGCUCGUGGGGAUGCAGCACCGGCUACAGGUCUCAGUGGAGUCCAUAUUGUAAUGGUGUAAACUAACAUCUAAAAACACUAAGGUUAUUCAAAUAAAAUUUUGAAUUGGAAAAAAAGAAGUAAUUCUCUUUAUUUUAUAAAAAGCAGGCAGUCCUUUACUCAGUAGAGCUCUGUGUGCUACAGACUUGAUUUGGAAAACUGAGGUUUGGGCAGAAAGUGAUUCACGGCUUGAUGAGGAGCAGCGUGGAGUGAGCUGGGUGAAGCGGCCACCUGCCGGUGUCUGCCGUGCUCCUGGGACCCGGGGUGGGAAUUUCCUCACAGGCGCACAGCCCGGCCGCACGGCAGACUCCCCCAGGGUGGAUAAGAAUCGAGUGUUGAUAAGUUAUAUAAGAUUUGGAGGAAGAUGGGUUAUUUGACCAAGAAACUGCUAAUGUGCAGAGAGCCCUCUCCCCAAAUUCCGUUAGGUUAGCAGAGCAGCUGAAUGGCAGAUGUCUUUUCUGAUGUGAGAGCUGUUUAGAGCAGAGGUUGGCAAACUACGGGCUUCAAGCCAAAUUUGGCCCCUCGUUGCCUGUUUUUGGGCUGCAACUAAGUGGUUUUCACAUUUUCAAAUGGUUGAAAAAAA